CGCCUGGGGAGUACGGGUGAGGUAACGGCUCACCAAGGCAUCGACGGGUAGCUGGUCUGAGAGGAUGAUCAGCCACACUGGGACUGAGACACGGCCCAGACUCCUACGGGAGGCAGCAGUAGGGAAUAUUGCACAAUGGGCGAAAGCCUGAUGCAGCAACGCCGCGUGCGGGAAGAAGGCCCUAGGGUUGUAAACCGCUUUCAGCAGGGAAGAAAAUGACGGUACCUGCAGAAGAAGGUGCGGCCAACUACGUGCCAGCAGCCGCGGUGACACGUAGGCACCAAGCGUUGUCCGGAUUUAUUGGGCGUAAAGAGCUCGUAGGCGGUUCAGUAAGUCGGGUGUGAAAACUCUGGGCUCAACCCAGAGACGCCACUCGAUACUGCUGUGACUCGAGUGCGGUAGGGGAGCGGGGAAUUCCUAGUGUAGCGGUGAAAUGCGCAGAUAUUAGGAGGAACACCAGUGGCGAAGGCGCCGCUCUGGGCCGUAACUGACGCUGAGGAGCGAAAGCGUGGGUAGCAAACAGGAUUAGAUACCCUGGUAGUCCACGCCGUAAACGUUGGGCACUAGGUGUGGGUCUCAACCAACGAGAUCCGCGCCGUCGCUAACGCAUUAAGUGCCCCGCCUGGGGAGUACGG
rnacentral:rRNA from 1 species